CAGAGAAGGAGACAACCAAGAGCUGUGAAUCUGGAGAAGCUGACACUGAUAGUGCCCAUCCCACACGUCCAGAAAGAAGUGAGGAAGCUUACAGCAUGGAUGGUACACAGCGGUGAUGUCUGCUGACACACAGUCAUGUGGGGCACAGUGAAGCUUGUGCCAGUGACAACCACAAGAAGAGGUGUGUGCUCGGAUGGUUUCAGAAGGCUGUCUGCACUGAGAGGAAGCCACACGUGCAGGAAGACUCCACAGGAACCCCACUGAGCUUAAACUACCUGGAGACCACAGGGCUGAGGGUAGAGCAGCAAUCAUGCUCAGCAGGACACCUGAGGCCUCCUCCAGCCAGAACGAUCCAUCACUCCCAGCC